rnacentral:tRNA from 1 species
GAGGGUAUAGCUCCGUGGUUAAAGUACAUGCUUAGCAUGCAUAAGGUCCUAGGUUCAAUCCCCAGUACCCUCA